rnacentral:tRNA from 1 species
GACACUUUGGCCUAGUGGUUAAGGCACCAGGCUAGAAAGCAGAAGACUGUGAGUUCUAAUCUCAUGUUA